GCACUGCUGAGGAGUCCCAUAAUAGGACGAAACAGCCGUCCAGUAU
rnacentral:hammerhead_ribozyme from 1 species